rnacentral:lncRNA from 1 species
UUAACUUUGUUUAAAGUUUAAUUUGAUCAAAACCAUGAACAUUUUCUUGAAUUGCAACAAAAAUAAUCACUUCUAGUUGUGUCUUUAUAGUACAAAAACAAAAUUGAAGAUUAUCAUUCAAACUUCCUUGCAAUGUAGACCAAAUGAAACUAUGCUAAUUUGUAAUCAAGAAACAAAAUACCUCUAUCCUCACAUUACCAACAAAAUAAAAGAACAAACUGCGGUAUCUACAAAGAAUUUUUAGAAUAUCUAUAAGGCCAUGAUCUACCGACUCUUUACAAAUCCAUCUCUGCAGAAUACAGGACACCAAACAGAUCAAAAUUUUGCUUCAUCUUAGUCAACCAUCGCCAAGAAUCUCAAGACUUUUAUCAAGAACAACAAAGGUAUGAAUUUCGAAAUUCACAUAGCAAUAUAGCAUCAUAGUCAUAGCUUAUGCCCUUAACAUAUGUAGAGAGAGUCAAGGAAACAAAAAUAUAGUAAAGAUCAUGCUUUUCAAAUUCAGACACAUACAUAAUCAGGGAAAUCGAAAUCAGUGAACUUGAACCAAGAAACAACAAGAUAACCUAAAAACUACAUAAAAUCACAACUCGAAACCAAACAUCUAGAUUUUAAAUAAAAAAAAGGGGGGGGGGGGGGGGGGCAAAAAUAAAGUACCUGAGAAAUAUGAUUUGGCAGAACAGUUGAGAGAUGAAGAGAAAGGAGCUGAAAAUAUUGAGAGGAACAAAAGAAGUUUUAAGAGGAAAACUUUGUGCGAGUAAAUGUUGACUAAGUUUAUUAUACUAGUAAAUAAUUAGAGAGCUCAUACUCUAUAUAUGUGAGUUAUGUGUGUAUGUAAUAAUUCAAGGUCCAUGAAGGAAUGCGUCCGCUCUUUGAAUAUCAUCUUUAUUUCUCCGCAGCUGCAAUUUCAUGAAGAAACGGGCAGGUUGACUAACCACCUAACACUGGCGCGUAAAGUCAAUGGGCGCGCGUGACGACUACAAAGCUCCUGCUGGGUGUCUCCACGUGGUCCUCGUAGGAUGUUUUCAGUUUAGUCCGGUUUAUUUAUGAGACUCGGUUUGUUUACACGCAAAUUGUGACAGGAUUAAAACUCACACUUUAAGAUAUUAAAGGUGGGAUUUGGGUGGCC